rnacentral:rRNA from 1 species
UACGGAGGUUGCAAGCGUUAUCCGGAAUCACUGGGUUUAAAGGGUGCGUAGGCGGCUAAAUAAGUCAGAGGUGAAAGCUUGCAGCUUAACUGCGAAAUUGCCUUUGAUACUGUAUAGCUUGAAAGGAGCUGAGGUCAGCAGAAUGUGGCAUGUAGCGGUGAAAUGCAUAGAUAUGCCAUAGAAUACCAAUUGCGAAGGCAGCUGGCUGGGCUUACUUUGACGCUGAGGCACGAAAGCGUGGGUUUCGAACAGG